rnacentral:lncRNA from 1 species
CGGCGCCGACGGCCUGCCGCACCUCAUCGUCAGCGGCGACCAGCGGCACUGGGGCGAGUUCAUCACCCCCGGCCUGCUCUUCCUCUACAUCGCCGGGUGGAUCGGGUGGGUCGGCAGGAGCUACCUCAUCGCCAUCAGCGGCGAGAAGAAGCCCGCCAUGAGGGAGAUCAUCAUCGACGUCGAGCUCGCCACCCGCCUCCUCCCCAGGGGGUUCAUCUGGCCCGUCGCGGCGUACCGCGAGCUCAUCAACGGAGACCUCGUCGUCGACGACAAGGACAUCGGCUACUACUAACUGCGUGCUGCACCUGCUUGCACAUCGCUGCUGGCGAGGCAAGACCGGAUCCAUUAUCGCUGAACAGUUUUGUUUCUUGAUUGGUGAUUACUAAUAAUGGAAGACUAAUUAACGUGCCUUGUGUUCUUGUUUGUUGUGCAGGGCGCAGUGCGUAUGUGGGGAAAGAUCGAUGGCUUUUGGUGUAGGAGCUGGUAGGGGGAAGGAAUCCAAGUGAUCUGUUGUACUUAAAAGAAACUGGAUGAAAGCCUUGUAUAAUUGGACUUCUAUCUCUUGUGUGUAUUCACCUUCAUGAAAAUUCUUGAGAAUAUGCUUCAAAAAGAUAAUCUUGAGAACAAUUUCAUUUUGCAUUGCGUUGCCACUUGCGUGUUAAUCGUCAGUGAAGAGGUAUAACUUCCCAAUUAGUUAGAGCACAAAAUUAAAACACAGAAUUGGUUCAAGUGCUCGACUAGAGGGAAGUACCAAGUUAUAGUUUAGAAGGUAAUUUUAUCUAGUUUUUUGGAGAUGCUCUUAAACAAAAGCUGAUGUGAGUGUUGGAUACAAUCUCAAAAUUACUGCCUUCACUCAACAAAGAAAAACAAAACAACUCCAUCACUUACUACUCCCUAAUACACAUAUAUAAUUCAGCUAAGUUCGACCCAAUGUCUUAGUGAAUCCCAAUUUGACAUUCAAAGUUAUAUUUGAUUAUUUCCUAAUAAACAAACUCUUUUCUGUGUAUACUAGCAGCAUUAAUAACAUAUUAAGAAGACAUUAGCUAUUGUACAAAUGUCAAAACCGUUCGGGAGUCGGGAAUCGUUUUGUAUAUUUCCUUGUAAUGUGUGAUAAAUUCAUAUUCUCUCUAAAAUUGUUCCUUUGACAAUCACUAUCAUUGUUUCUAAAAAAAAUUGACUAGCUUCCUCGAUUUGGAAUAGAAGAACUACAGUAAGCUGAAACACCAAUGAGAAGGUAAAACAUCUAAAAUUUCGGUGUACUCUCUUGUAUGUGAAAAAAAACUACAAAAUUUCUUUAUGAUUCUCAUGAAAACGUUUCGAGCAAUGUUGCUUGUUGCAAUAUACUCCCUCCAUACCUAUAAAGAAAGUUGUUUUGAACAAAGUUUUAAGUCAAACAUUGAGAAUAUAAAUCAUGAAUAACUUUAAGUUGUUGAGUUUGAAAAUAUGAAAACCAUAUGAAUAUAUUUAUCUUGAAAAACACUUUUAUUAAAAUAUACAUAUAUCAUUUUUGAUGAAUAUUUUUAUAAAAAUAAAGAGUUGAACUUAGAUUUUAGAGACUAUGUCGUUAAACGACUUUCUUUAAAUACGAGCUAGUAAUAGUUUGAUGUAGAAUAUCCUGUCGUGGUGCGGGCUUCGGGGCUAUAUCGGUCUUCUUGGUGUGGGGCACUUAGGUAGCCCGUUGUUCUUUGGUUGCAAAUUGUUUUUAUGUGUAAUCGCUUCUUGUAAUGCCCACCCGAGCCUUGCACAAUGACAUCUCGCUAUAUUGUGCUAGUCACUCUGUAAACUCUAAAUUUCCUCUUUAUAUGAAAUACUAUGUGCUGAACACGUUCUUGAAAAAAAAAGUCCUAUCGCAAUGAUCACUGGGAGAUGAUAAAAUUGUUUAUCGAGGAAUCAGUGCACUAGCCAUCCCAUAUCAGAUUACCAGUACAUGUAAAGAUGAUCAACAGGCGGCUCGGCCCGGCACGGCAUGCUAGACAUGGCCCGAUAGGGCACGGGCUCGUAUGGCCCGCGUGCCACCGGGUCGUGCCUCCAAGGCUAUCGUGCCUGCCUGAUGGACCAGGCACGGCCUGUGGACCGAUUUUCGAGCCGGGCCGGCCCGAAAAGCACGAAGUCCAAUAGUGCUUCAGGCCGACCUAUGGCCCGCUAUAUAAAAAACAUCAAAUUUAAUAUAUAAUUUAACAAAGCAUAAGUAAAUCACAUUCAAUUCGUAGACAUUAAUAUUUCACAAUUCACAUAACACAAUAUACUCAAAGAUCAUAUUUCACUUGUCAAAAAUUAUAAGUUUGACAAGUCACAUAACGAUACUUCAAGUUUCACAAAUUCUCUAAUACCGGACCGACACCGUGCCUGCUGUUAAAAGCGGGCCGUGCCGUGCCGCCCUGCGGGCCGAGGGGUCGGCCUAAGCACGGCCCGUUACGUGCUUCGGACCGGUCCGGGCCUGGUUAGGAUCGGAUCGUGCCGUGUUCGGGCCGAGCCAAAUCACCGUGCUUUGGGCCGUGCCUUCGGCCCGCGGGCUGCAUGCUCAACUUUAAGUACAUGUAAACGAGCAGGAGCUCGCCAUAAGCAUCCUACAGUCCUACGUGGACCAAGCGAACCGGUGCACCGACCACUCUGACUGCCACGCUGUAUAAUCUUAUCCACCCGCCAGCUUGACACGUCACCAACCGCACGUGCAGAACAGACACCCCACCUUCCUUUCACUGACACUCCAGCCCCGCUUGCUCGCACCGCGCUCCACUGACCCCCGCGCGCACCGUCGUGCUACGGGGCCUACGGCACACGCGUCGCGCACUCACUGGCACCGCACUGUCGCCCUUCAUCCGGUGGCCGCCACGACCCCAUCGGUGCCCCCUCUAACGUCACAAUCGUCAACGACACACCAUCCCAUGACAUGCGGGCCACACCGUUGAUAGGCCCACCUCGCAGUGAGAGACCUCCGGUGCGCGGAGCGCUGGCUCGGCGCCCAUCGGAUCCCCACAGGCCACAGGCCACUUCCUCCCUUUCCGGCCCUCCCCCCGCACCCCACUCUCGCCGGCCGCCGCAGCCAAGGCAAGACGCCUCCUCCCCACACCCGAUCUCCCCUCCCACCUCCGAUCGCUACGUAAACCCCCAGUCCCCCACCUCCUCCGCACUCCCCCGCUUGCCGCGCAAACGCGCGCCAUUUCAAAUCCCUCCCAAACCCUACCCCGCAUGGUCGAUCGGGCCGCCGCGCGGGCACAGGCAGCGGCGAGCUCCGACCCACCGCCGGAGCCCGACCCGCGGCUCCGCCAGCCCGCCACCGCUGAUGGGCAGGAGGCCGCUUCGACGGGGGCGGCCGCGGGCCCGCCUCCCCCGCCCCAGACCGGCGACGCUGACGAGGAGGACGCUCUGGCCUCGCCGGCGGGGCCGCCGGGCGAGCGGUGCAGAGCGAUGAUGGAGGUGGUAGCCAAGGACGGGGCGGGCGGGAAGUGGAAGGUGACCAAGCUGGUGGUGGAGCACAGCCACGAGCUGCAGGUCGCCACCGGGGAUGUCGCGGCGACCGUGCCGGCGGUGGGGAUGGAAUUCGACUCUGUCGACGACGCCAAGGGGUUCUACUAUGGCUACGGCGAGCGGGUGGGGUUCAAGGCGCGCAUGGGCUCCAACCGCCGCUCGGUGGGCGACGGCGAGAAGAUCCUGCAGCGGUUCCUCUGCUGGAAAGGCAAUUGUGCGAAUAGGAGUAAAUGUAAGGAUAAUUCGGAUGCAGGGAAGGAAGCAGAGGAGGUGGUGGAGGGUGCUUCUGCUGCUGCUGCUGCGGGGAAGAGGAAGAGGGAACCUUAUAAGACAAGGAGCCGCAAUCCCGGUAAGAAUACAGAGGUGAUUGAAGUGGAGAAAGGUGUUGGGUUGGCUGGUGCUGGGAAUGGGCUAGAGCUGCAGAAUGGGAGGCGUUCCAGGAGGGGUAGGAGUAAGAAGGCCGCGGUGGAGCAUGAUGAGGAGUCUGUUGUUGGGUUUGAGGUAGAGAAGGAGGUGGCUGAAGGUGCUUCUCCUGCUUCUGAUGGUGAUGGAGAAGAUUGUGAAGGGGAGGAGGAUAAGGAAGGACUGCAAGAGGAGGUUGAGGUGGAAGUGAAGGAAAAGAGAGGGAGAGGGAGGCCGAGGAAGACUGUUAUGGAGGACGAUGCCUUGCAGGCACACGUCUUGAGGGAACUUGGUGUAAGGGCAUCGCAGUACAAUAACGAGGAGAGAAAGAAGAUACUCAAUAAGUACCGCUCUAAACGGCAGAGCAGACCAGCCUCCAGCAGGCCUACCAAGGUCAACAGCUUAGUUUGCUAUCAGUAUUUACAUGUAAAGAUGUAUCAGAAACUUCAAAGUGUUCAAGAGACAUACUAAAAUAGUUGGCACACUCUUUUCCCUACAAGCACUUACUCCCAUAUGAUGUCGCAUACUCUUUUCCUUCUAGAUUGCUUCAAGGCAAGCGUUGGCUGAAAGGCGUAAGCGUGGUGAUGGAGGUAGAUUUCUGUCAAGUGAAGAACAGCUGGUAACUUUCUGACCAUGUUGCCUAUUUUGAAUGCUUUGCAUUGUUGCUACAGCAUUGGUUACAUGCUUUAUUUAUCCAUUAACCAAAGUGAAUAUCACAAACUCUACGCCUAAUGAUAUUCAUGCAAGGAAAUAAUGAUGACUGAAUGUGCCGUAUAUUGUUUUGUGGCCAGAAAAUAUGUACUGUUACCUCAUUUGCAUAGGCAGUUCAUUUCUACAGAAAAUGGUGUUACUUUGUGGCUCUUUACAUGCUUUUACCAGUCUUUUUUUUUGGGGGGGGGGGGGUGUAUGUGCCUCAUUUGCAUACACAGUUCAUUUCUACAGAAAAUGGUGUUAUCUUCGUGGCUCUUUACAUGCUUUUACCAGUCUUUUUUUUGUGUGCGUGUGUACUCUUGUGUGUAAAAAGUAUAUAUCUUGUAACUCUUCUUGUUGUGCGAUUGCUUAACUUGCUAAAUCUGAAUUCUGGAGUGUUAUUUCUUGCCGGUUAUGCUACUGUGGCUGUAGGCUCACAUAUUUGUAAUCAAUUAACUUAACCUGCCAGGUCUUUGUUAUUGUGUUAUCUGAUGAAUUGAUCGAAAUUCUCUUAGUUGGUAGGCACUAACUUGCUUCCCUUUUAUUCGUUAUGGUUUCCACUUUUCACUGCACAUGAACAAUUUACAUAUGACAAUUAUCUUGUUAUUAUUCUUAUGUUCUCGUACUCUUGUGCUCUGCAGCCUUCUCAGCUGCCUUCAGAAAGGCGUUCCAAACGUCUUGAGAAGCAAAAUCUCAAAAUGGAGAAGGUAAGAUCCAGUAGAGACGUGUAGAGUUAUUUUGUUUGAGGAAGAAGUGGUGCUGUAUCAUCUGAUCCUAAUUCCGACCUACGCACUUGGUUGCUUUAAGGAAUCACAUGCGUUGAUCUAUCACCACUUCAUCCCUCGCAAGCACAUGCUUAGUGCAGAUGAAGGUGAUCCUACAAAAAUUCAUGAGAUGAUUCCAUGGUGGACUAUCCCAUCAAGGAUGGGUUAUUUCCUUGAACCAAGCAUCCAUUAGUUGUGUAACUUUCUUUUUAGAGAGGAUCCACAGGUGUUGCAUAGGAGAUGUCUCUUAAGUCUGCAGUGUCUAAAUUUUGUUUAGUAACAGAACAGUCUAGAAUAAUAAAUUUUUAAAGUAAUACAACCUAUGAACAGCUGCAAUUGCAUAUGUUAUAUUUGAUUAAAUGCUCAGGAUUUUCCCUUGUCCAGGCUGAGAGCAAAGAAGACGAAACAAUGGAAGUGGAACCAGAUCCAGAAAUUGAAGUCGUCCCUGGACCUGGGGGAGAACCAAAGGUUGGGAUGGUUUUUCUGAAUGAGGAUAAAGCUUAUGAAUUCUAUGUCAACUAUGCUGGAACGGCAGGGUUCAAUGUCCGAAAAGGCUGGUUGGACAAAACAGCAAAGAAUGUUAUAAAAUCUCGAGCAUAUGUUUGUUCCAAGGAGGGAUUUCGUCCAAAAAGUGCUUCUAUUGAAUCAAAGAAACUAAGACCUGAAACAAGAACUGGUUGCCAGGCACACAUGACUAUUAAGAUUACAGCAAGUGCAAAAUAUGUAGUGACUGAGUUUGUGGCUGAUCAUAAUCACGUUCUUGAAACUCCCUUGGUUGACAUUCAGAUUUUGAAGUCCCAAAAGUUAUUAGCAAAGGUACUACAGCCUCCUGAUCCACCAAAAGUUGUUCUGAUACCAAAUGAGUAUAAAAAUUACACAAGGACAAAACGUAUGAAAGAUAUGCAGUUAGGUGAUACCCAGGCCAUCUGUGAAUAUUUACAUAGGAUGAAAGGCGAGAAUCCUUCUUUCUUUUACGCCAUUCAAGUAGAUGAAGAUGAUCAGUUUACAAACGUGUUCUGGGCUGAUGGUAAAUCAAUAAUGGACUAUAACUACUUUGGUGAUGUAGUGUGUGUUGACACAAGAUAUUGCACAAGUGACUAUGGGAGACAUCUACUGUUAUUUACUGGUGUUAACCAUCAUAAGCAGCUGAUAAUAUUUGGCUCGGCGCUGAUUUAUGAUGACUCAGUCCAAUCCUUUAGAUGGUUGUUUGAGACCUUCAAAUCUGCUAUGAGUGGAAAGAAACCAAAAACAGUUUUGACUGAUCAGUCUGAUGCACUUAGUGAUGCAGUUUCUUCUUCUUGGCCUGGUACCACUCACCGCUUCUCACUACUGCAUUUGUAUCUGAAUGCUACUAAGUUAUUCAGGGAUACCUUCCAAGGCUCGGAGACUUUUGCAUCAGAUUUUAGUAGGUGGCUGUAUGAAUAUGAGGAGGAUGACUUCUAUUCGAGCUGGGAAAUCCUUUCGGAGAAAUACAGUAUAAAGGAUAAUGAGUGGUUCUGUAAAUUGUAUGAGGAUAGAGAAAGAUGGGCUUUGCCAUGUGGGCGUGAUACGUUCUGUGCUGAUAUUGCAACCGCACUAAGAAGUGAUAACAUGGAUACCAUCCUGACAGAUCUUCUUAAACCAGAAAUAGAUCUUCAAAACUUCUUCAUCAAUUAUGAUAAGUUUUUGGAGGAGAAACGCCUAGCUGAACAACAAGCCGACUACCUUGGGGCUCAAAUAGCACAAAGAGUAGCACCACUGCAUCUGCUUUGGCAAGCUGCCAAUUCAUAUACUCCAACACUUUUUGAGAUGUUCCGGAUGGAAUAUGAACAGAUCUCAAAGUGCAUGGUCUAUAGCUGUGGCGAGAUUGGACCAAUAUCUGAGUACCAGGUAACUGUCAAAGACAGGCCUCGAGGUCAAUUUGUUAGAUUUGAUUCAACAGAAUGUAUGGUUGUUUGUAGUUGUAAGAAGUUUGAAUUCAUGGGUCUUCUUUGUUGCCAUGUAUUGAAAAUUCUUGAUCUUAGAGAUAUUAAAGAACUUCCACCACAUUAUAUCCUGAAAAGAUGGAGAAAAGAUGCUCAGAGUGAAUCUCCAGAGAACUAUGGGUUUGCCGCCAUAGAUGAAGAUCCCAAGUUUUCAUUGUCAAAACGGUACAACACAUUAUACCGGAAUUUGUAUAAAAUUGCAGCAAAAGCUUCAGAAAGCGUUGAAGCUUAUGCAUUCUUGGAAAGCCAAUAUGAACAGCUUGUUGAACAAGUGGAGGUACUUUUGCAAGCGAAGUUGCAUGAUAAAUCUUCCUUAAGUACUGUCCUGAAAGGCAAUCAGCCAAAUCUGCUUAAUAGUGAGGUAAGCAGCAGUGAACAUCGCAGAGCAACUGGUAAGAAGAUUAAAAAUAUAGAGGUGCGCCGUCAGCAACAAAGUCCUCUUGAUCCAAACAAGAAGAAAAAGGGUAGACAAGGUUUGUUCAUUACCUGCACUGCUACGGUAUUCGAUUUUAUAUGAUCAGUGCAUUAUCUGAUUAACCUGUUGUAGGUCUGCUGGAACCUGAGGAGAUUGAAAUUCCACUCAGGGUUGAUCCUCCCGCAGUUUCAAAUGAUAUCCAAAAUCAUUUAAGAACUCCAACAAAUCAGUUUCUUGCACCAAGCCAUAUGAUCCAGGUAAAUUUGGCACCCUUUCUCUUUUUUCUUUUCCAUAUGUAUUGAGGAACAGACGUGAUGUAUAUUAUACUUGUGCAAAUAUAGGCCCCUUAUGUUGCACAGCAGUUUGGUCUUGGUUCUCUACAAGGAUUCCCAGGCAUGUCACCAUUUGGGCAGGUAACAUGGAAAUCAUGACUUGUUGAAGCAAAAUAGAAUUAUAUACUUCUUUCCCUCACGGACUGCAAUUUAACAUGUCGUUAGAUUCAAGAACCAACACAUCUUCAGCAGCCUCAUUUACAACCACCACCCUUUCAUAGUGGUCCUCCAAUUACACAGGUCAUAUUUCCUAUUCAAUGCUACUUCAUGUCUGUGAGAGCCCUAUAAUUCUGCUAGUUAACAUAUUUCUUGGCAUUGAUAAUUUAUUGCUAUAAGUUGUCAUCGUGCCGCAGCACAUUCCCCUUCAGAGUAAGUUUGUAUAUAGGGAAACUUGCAUUUGGAUGUCAUUUAAAUCACUGAGAUCAGUAAAAUGUCACGUGAACUUAUUAAUUAAAUACUAGUUGUAACUUGUAACAAGUGGGUUGCGCUAUUGAAUUUCCUGACAAGUCAAAUCUUUCUUACUGCAGGCUCCACCUCCAGACAUUCAAUCACUGCAGUUUCUUAGCAGCAAUCCUCAAUUGGGCCACCAGACCACAGAUCAAGGCCAGUACACCAUUCCAGUCUGGGAUUUCCUGUGAUGUACAAUAUGUGAUGCAUGCGAGAAGUAGCAAUGUAGUUGUAAAUAAAUUAUGUAAUGACCAAUGAUGUAGAAACACUGCCUUGCCCGGCAGGUUCAUGUCAAUGAAAUCUUUUAGCAUGGUACAUUGGAUGGAUUUUUGGAGGUGGACGCAAUUCAAACGCACUUGUCAAAGCCAACCAGGAAUGGAGACUGCUGGUGUUGGAUCCAGGCAUAGCAAGGAUCCAGUGGGCGUUGGCAAGAUGUCAUGGUUCGGCACAAUUAUCAUACGAUAUCUGCCCUUUGGGCGUGGUAAUUGGGCCACCUGUAGGGGAGAGAACUAAACUGAACUGGAAUAAAGGGUGUUUAGUUCCCUUUUCAUCCCAAAAAAAAAUUAGGAUUUAGUCCAUCAUUUUACAUAAUAGAACUAAACACCAUAUAAAUUUUUUGGUAAAAAGAUGACUAUUCUCCAUUUGUAUUUUGACCUCAAGAAGCAGCAAAAAAAAAGGCUAGAUGAGCCUCAAAAAGCCAUAAUGAGGGCAAUAAAUUAUGUAUUUUGGAUGGAAUUAAACAUAACUCUAAAAUUUUUUGUAUUUUACAUUUCAUCAUUCCAAAAUAGUUGACGAACUAAACAUGCCCUGAGGAAAAGUUUUCGGCGUCAGCUGCAAAAACAAUUUCCUCUAGUAUCCUGAAUGUUAUGCGGAAAUGGAGUAAUUGGAGUACAAUAUGCAUUCUAUGUAGGGUUUACAGGUUAAUAUCAAUGUCCCAAGUCAGCUUCCACUUGAUGACAACGGAAAAAUUGUGUGCACUGAACUGCCGUUAUUUAGAUGUUCAGUAUGGCUUCAGAUUUCUGGUUUAGGUAUUGCUGCCAGGUUGCACCGUAGCCUGAUUGCUCAUGCUGACGUCCAUCUUCAGAACAAACAAUCUUGGGUCCAUCAAAGUUGAGGAUAUCAGUGUCACCAUCUUUGCGCUUCCAGUUUGAAGGGAGCUUCAUAUACUUAUCAUUGAAGGCCAGAGUUACAGCCAACCUAAUCUGGUCCCUGUAAAUAGAAUUUUAACAUCACCAAGACGGUUGUGAGUAUAUAGUGGCUAAACUUUGGCAUGAUUCAAAGAUGUGCAUUUGUGUUGGAUAUUAGCGUAUUACACAUGAAAUAGAAAUCAUGAGUUUAACUUACCUUUGAUUGGCUAAAUUAAUGGCAUUAAUCCACCACAUGAUGGAAGCAACCAGGUUUUUAUCCAGCUUGCGAGGCUCUAUCAAAAGCACAUCAAAAUCAAGUAGGCAUGCAUCCUUGUUAUAAGGUUCUUUAGACACCCAACUUUGUGCAGCUCCAGCUCUUUGUAUGGCACUAAGAACAUCCAUACUGAUAUAAUCAUUGAGACGCUUGCUGCAAUCUAAGACAGCACCGAUGGCAUAACUGCCUAAAUCCAUGCGACCAAGAUCUUCUACUUUACCCUGCACGGGGGAAAAAAAUCAACAUUUCACAGCAGGUAAUCCAAAGGUGUUGAUAAAAUGCUUAGUUUUGCACACUUUUUCACUUCCAAGUUCCAAAUAUCGUUGGAAUUUUGCUUUUGAGUGCAUGAAUUGAAGGUUUUCAACAACUUCGCUCAUUAUUUUAAAGAUAUGAAUGAAAACGUUUGAUCAUAUGACAGUACCACUCAUGCCAGUGAGAACUAAGGAUGCAAGUGGGGCGGCGGUGGGUAGCCCACCGCGAGUCCGCAUCAACUGCGAGCAUUACGUGGGCUCAUGCGGCAGCCCACGUCUCGCCGCUAUCUCGUUGUGGGUAGUAGCAGCAGCCCGCAAAGUGCCGCAACGCAUGUCCGCUGCUAUCUGCUAGCCUCCUCCAUGGACAGACUCUCAUCUCUCGGUCAAUGGUUAAUGGAUGUUCUGGAAUGGGCGAAUGGCCAUGGCUGGACGCAUGUACUCAACACCGUUCAAUCGAUGCAAUGCUCUGUGCAAGACGCGAGUCGUACGUGCGUGCUGAUUGCUGAUGGAGUGAUGGUAGCCAGCAGGAGUAGACAGGCCGGCGACCGUCAUCCGGUUCCAGUCCCUUUGCAGCACUGGCUGCUGGGCGCCGAUGCACGUGCGGGUGUGCCGUUGAUUGGAUGGCUGCCUUUGGACUCCGAUUCAACACAACUACGCAACCGACAUCGCCAUGCUCGCCCUCCACGGUUGCGCCUCCUACCUCAACUUUAGGGACUUCACGAGCCUGCAGUGGCAACAGCGCCGCUGACCUCCGACGCCCCGCCAUCCAGCUCGCCACCGCCGCCGACGCCUCACAAUUGCAGCAGCAUGCUGCCCAUGGCUCACACGGCAGCACCCAUGUCGUCCAUGUCAGUCGCCUAGGCUGCACCCGUGCCCUCGGCAACGCUACCGUACGAGGCGGACGAUGCCACGACGACAGCGGAAUGUAUGUGGGUUGCCGCUGGGUACUUGUGGGUUGGGCACUUCAACCCACUCUAUCUAAGUGG